ACCUGUGAGGUGUCCCUAAGGAGAGGGAGGGCGCCCUGCGUCCGGCAGAGGAGGCGAGCAUCCCGCUCAGGUGAUGAGGAACUCCUCGCGUAACCAGUGCAGAAGGCUGCUGCCGCCGGACGCCUCCAUUGUUUGACCACAACAAGGGCCGGAUUCUCACCCAGGAUCCUAAGGCCUUUGUAGUCCUUCAGCCACUGUGGGCCCUGCCUCUGCCUGUUCUUCUGGAAUGUCUUGGGGGUUUUGAUCCUGUCACUGUGGUAAGUUUUCCCCU
rnacentral:sRNA from 1 species